rnacentral:rRNA from 1 species
GAUGAACGCUGGCGGCGUGCCUAAUACAUGCAAGUCGAGCGAACAGACGAGGAGCUUGCUCCUCUGACGUUAGCGGCGGACGGGUGAGUAACACGUGGAUAACCUACCUAUAAGACUGGGAUAACUUCGGGAAACCGGAGCUAAUACCGGAUAAUAUAUUGAACCGCAUGGUUCAAUAGUGAAAGACGGUUUUGCUGUCACUUAUAGAUGGAUCCGCGCCGCAUUAGCUAGUUGGUAAGGUAACGGCUUACCAAGGCAACGAUGCGUAGCCGACCUGAGAGGGUGAUCGGCCACACUGGAACUGAGACACGGUCCAGACGCCUACGGGAGGCAGCAGUAGGGAAUCUUCCGCAAUAGGCGAAAGCCUGACGGAGCAACGCCGCGUGAGUUAUGAAGGUCUUCGGAUCGUAAAACUCUGUUAUUAGGGAAGAACAAAUGUGUAAGUAACUAUGCACGUCUUGACGGUACCUAAUCAGAAAGCCACGGCUAACUACGUG